rnacentral:rRNA from 1 species
GGUAGCGAAAUUCCUUGUCGGUUAAAUACCGACCUGCAUGAAUGGCGUAACGAGAUGGGAGCUGUCUCAAAGAGGGAUCCAGUGAAAUUGUAGUGGAGGUGAAAAUUCCUCCUACCCGCGGCAAGACGGGAAGACCCCGUGGACCUUUACUACAGCUUGACACUGCUACUUGGAUAAGAAUGUGCAGGAUAGGUGGGAGGCUUUGAGUAUAUGACGCCAGUUGUAUAUGAGCCAUUGUUGAGAUACCACUCUUUCUUAUUUGGGUAGCUAACCAGCUUGAGUUAUCCUCAAGUGGGACAAUGUCUGGUGGGUAGUUUGACUGGGGCGGUCGCCUCCCAAAUAAUAACGGAGGCUUACAAAGGUUGGCUCAGAACGGUUGGAAAUCGUUCGUAGAGUAUAAAGGUAUAAGCCAGCUUAACUGCAAGACAUACAAGUCAAGCAGAGACGAAAGUCGGUCUUAGUGAUCCGGUGGUUCUGUGUGGAAGGGCCAUCGCUCAAAGGAUAAAAGGU